GAUGAACGCUGGCGGCGUGCCUAAUACAUGCAAGUCGAGCGAACGGACGAGAAGCUUGCUUCUCUGAUGUUAGCGGCGGACGGGUGAGUAACACGUGGAUAACCUACCUAUAAGACUGGGAUAACUUCGGGAAACCGGAGCUAAUACCGGAUAAUAUUUUGAACCGCAUGGUUCAAAAGUGAAAGACGGUCUUGCUGUCACUUAUAGAUGGAUCCGCGCUGCAUUAGCUAGUUGGUAAGGUAACGGCUUACCAAGGCAACGAUGCAUAGCCGACCUGAGAGGGUGAUCGGCCACACUGGAACUGAGACACGGUCCAGACUCCUACGGGAGGCAGCAGUAGGGAAUCUUCCGCAAUGGGCGAAAGCCUGACGGAGCAACGCCGCGUGAGUGAUGAAGGUCUUCGGAUCGUAAAACUCUGUUAUUAGGGAAGAACAUAUGUGUAAGUAACUGUGCACAUCUUGACGGUACCUAAUCAGAAAGCCACGGCUAACUACGUGCCAGCAGCCGCGGUAAUACGUAGGUGGCAAGCGUUAUCCGGAAUUAUUGGGCGUAAAGCGCGCGUAGGCGGUUUUUUAAGUCUGAUGUGAAAGCCCACGGCUCAACCGUGGAGGGUCAUUGGAAACUGGAAAACUUGAGUGCAGAAGAGGAAAGUGGAAUUCCAUGUGUAGCGGUGAAAUGCGCAGAGAUAUGGAGGAACACCAGUGGCGAAGGCGACUUUCUGGUCUGUAACUGACGCUGAUGUGCGAAAGCGUGGGGAUCAAACAGGAUUAGAUACCCUGGUAGUCCACGCCGUAAACGAUGAGUGCUAAGUGUUAGGGGGUUUCCGCCCCUUAGUGCUGCAGCUAACGCAUUAAGCACUCCGCCUGGGGAGUACGACCGCAAGGUUGAAACUCAAAGGAAUUGACGGGGACCCGCACAAGCGGUGGAGCAUGUGGUUUAAUUCGAAGCAACGCGAAGAACCUUACCAAAUCUUGACAUCCUUUGACAACUCUAGAGAUAGAGCCUUCCCCUUCGGGGGACAAAGUGACAGGUGGUGCAUGGUUGUCGUCAGCUCGUGUCGUGAGAUGUUGGGUUAGGUCCCGCAACGAGCGCAACCCUUAAGCUUAGUUGCCAUCAUUAAGUUGGGCACUCUAAGUUGACUGCCGGUGACAAACCGGAGGAAGGUGGGGAUGACGUCAAAUCAUCAUGCCCCUUAUGAUUUGGGCUACACACGUGCUACAAUGGACAAUACAAAGGGCAGCGAAACCGCGAGGUCAAGCAGAUCCCAUAAAGUUGUUCUCAGUUCGGAUUGUAGUCUGCAACUCGACUACAUGAAGCUGGAAUCGCUGGUAAUCGUAGAUCAGCAUGCUACGGUGAAUACGUUCCCGGGUCU
rnacentral:rRNA from 1 species